rnacentral:lncRNA from 10 species
UGUCCCGAGGCAUACAGGAGGCGAUGGGCUGAGUCCUGACUGCAGCUCCCCCAAGGACCUGCCACGCAUGGAUUAUACACAAAGUCUGUUCAAGUCUGUUGAGGGAGUGAAGGGUCGGGGGGCAGCAAUCCCCUGUUUGGCCUGCCAGGUAAAGCCUUUGUAAUUGCUAAUGGCUGGGCCUGACAGAUUACACAUAGGAUU